AUAUAGCCCUGAUGAAAGCGGCAUCCUUUUUAAUUUUGCUACUUUAUCUUUCUACGUAUAACGCAAAAUUAAAAAGAUACAGCGUACAGCAGGAAAAAGC
rnacentral:sRNA from 1 species